AACGAACGCUGGCGGCGUGCUUAAUACAUGCAAGUCGAACGUUAGAUGUAGCAAUACAUCGAAAGUGGCGAACGGGUGAGUAACACGUAAGUAAUCUGCCUCUAAGAUCGGGAUAACCCUGCCAACGCGGGGCUAAUACCGGAUGUGGUCCAGUGAAUGCAUGUUUACUGGAUUAAAGGAGUGAUCCGCUUAGAGAUGAACUUGCGGCCCAUUAGCUAGUUGGCGGGGUAACGGCCCACCAAGGCAACGAUGGGUAGCCGGCCUGAGAGGGUGUACGGCCACAUUGGGACUGAGAUACGGCCCAGACUCCUACGGGAGGCAG
rnacentral:rRNA from 1 species